UGCAUUAAGAGUUUAGGAAAAUUGUUAAAAGUAUUGAAAAAGUUGUCAUACCGAUUGUAAAAAAAACUGUAGUGAAAUAUUAAUAUUAUCAGUUUUUAUUAUUAUUAUUUUAAAUAAAAUGAUUUGUUUUUACACACAUACAUGUAAAUUCCAUUUAUUUCCAUUUCAGAAUGCUAGUAAACACAAUACAUCAUUUGAGUAGUGGUGAAAAUAUCAGACAAAUAAGAAAAAAAAUAAAAAAUCCCAAAGUUGAAGAAACACCCAAUUAAAAUAAAAUAUUUUUGACCAAAAAAAAUUUAAAUAAAUAAAUACCCCCAAACAUACUAUCCCACAGCAAAAUCCCUGCCUCUACACACACAAUGGCAUCCUGGAAGGCCGAGCCAGUUUUUACACAAUGGCCGGGCUCUUGGUUCUCUGUCUGCUCUCAGGCCGAGUCAAACGAGCCCUUAUUAGCAGUCAUUGUACUAGUUGAGCUGUCCUCAUAAGUGGCUGUGGGCCGUUUGAUCCCAUCCUCAAUUUCAAAGCGUCAGCAACCUGAUACGCGCCGAUGAGAUGGAUAGAGUGAGAGGUAGCUCGGUUCAUGUCUUAGGAAGCUCUCUUACCCAGGUGGGCCAAUCAGGAGGAGGGGGUGUUUGGCUGGGCGACCUGAACCUCCCAACACCCCCCUCUGCUUGAGCUCAACAUGUAAUACCUGUAUCUGAUUUCACGGAUCUGUGAAAGAGAUAGAUGAUGUUUGGAAAAGGGAAAGCCCCUUUUUUUCCAAGCGAUCUUACUAUUUUUCCUGUGGCUAUUCAUUUUGGCUGUUGCACUAUAGGCUGGUUUGCUUUCAUGUUUUGUUUAAUUAAUUGCUCAGUCUUUAGAGGCCUGAAAACAACGAAACCACUGAAACAAAGAAAAGAGCAAAUGAGUGUCUGGAGAGCAGACGAUUAUAUGAAGAGCUGGAUGGGUGUGUGGAGGAGGGUGUUUGUUCUCUGCUGCCGGCCUUGGUGGGACAAUAGCGAGCUUCUGAAGUGCAGAGUGGUGGGAUGAAGAAGAUGAGGAGUCAAUGAGUGAAGAGGAGGCAGCGAUAUGUCAGCUCUUGACCCAACCAUGACUGUAGGAGGCCUGACUCAAUUACACUGCACAGCCCAGGACUGCAAUAUGGGAUAAAGUCCUGCUAAUUAUCUUGCUACAAAUGUCAGUUUCCUAUUUGAUUCUUUUAGAGAUGACAUGUGUGCAUUCUUCAGUAUUAAAAUGUUCUAUAUCUAUGCCAUAUUAGUAACCAUUUGUAGAUUCUGCUAAAAAGUGAUGAGAAAUUACACUGUAAAGGUACAGUAAGGUGACAUUAAACCAUUGAAACAGUUUUAGUAAUUAAAUUAACGUAAAAUUAAUCAUAUUAAUCAUAUACAGUAUCUUCAUAUAAUAUAUCAUUGUCAGGAUUAUGGACCUGUUUUGGUGUGUUUUUCUUCCCCAUGUGCUCCGUGACAUAGUAUUCCCUCAUGUUUCAUUAUGUCAUUUGAUUCAGGUGUGUCCCGUUAAUUAUCCUCAUUUAGUUCUGGUUUUAAAGUGCUGUCUGUGCCUUGGUUCCUUUGUACGGUGUAUUCUAUACAAGUGCUACGUGUGUUCCUGCCUGCCCUGUGUUACUCUGGUUGUGCAUUAUUAAAGACUGUUAUUGGUGAGACUCCUUCAUCUUCAUUCUCCUUCCCUCCCGCACAGUAGCACUGUGACAAUCAUCAUAUAAUUUUCAGUCAUUAUUUUGUAGCCAUUUUAAGAAGUUUGCAGCCCUGAUUCCAAAAUAUAUCAUAAUUUGAAUCCCUGAUUAUAUAAGGUAUUUUCUAACAAUAAAUAAAUAAAUAUUCCCUAUUAUUAUUAUUGU
ensembl:lncRNA